GGAGAGACCUAGCUGUCAGUCGUCAGCUGUCCGCGCUUGACAGAAAACGGGGAGACACGAAUCAGAACCUGUGCUGCUUAGGGUAAAUAACUCCCAUCUCUGGAUGAGCAUGAAGAAUGGCGAGGCACAGUGAAGUUUGUCAGGGAUCAAGACAAAGAAGACAAAGGUGAAAGAGUUCACUAAAUUAACUGUCCAGAACUUCACGUAUUCGACUUUGACUUCAAGGAUUCUGCAUCUGACCUUUUGAAUGAUGGGGGGCCUGACCUGUUGACCACCCACUGGAAUCCAAGGAAAACUCCCUUCUUAGUUCUAGAGAAUUAGGCUGAAAUUUUGUUUAAUCAGAACAACCCAGAUUUGUUGGCUAUUCCUGGAGUAUGAUAAGGUCAUUGGCAACUUGAAAUUUACGUCUUCUAGAAAUGGUUCCAAGGGCUCCACCAGGACAGAAGAAAUGAUUCCAAGGGUUCCACCAAUCCAACUUCUCCAACAUUGAAUACUUGCUUCUCUCAUCUACUUUCUCAGCAACCCAAACUACUCAUGCAUCUUCUCCACCUCCCC